ensembl:lncRNA
CCUGCUAUCACCCUCUUACCCCCACCCAACCCUACCUGCUAUCACCCUCUUACCCCCAACAACCCUACCUGCUAUCACCCUCUUACCCCCACCAACCAUACCUGCUAUCACCACAGUAUGGCAUCGGGCCUCUGAGACUUGUUCACCUUACCCCCCGCCCCCUGAAUGCCAAGUCUCCAGACCCCUUUCCAUCCUGACCUGAUGGUCUCUGUCCGAGGGAGGGGUUACAUCCAGAUCCAUUCUGGUUACAAUGUCAGCUGAUGUUCAUUACGUCUCAACAUGUAAUGGAUGAGAUUAGGUCAUGGUUCAGGUUAUGAGGCCUGUCCAGGUGUAAACAAGAUGCUGGCUAGAAGGCAGCUGUUUUCCACUUGGAGAGACAGGGGAACAUGGUGAGGUGACCUCUAGGUGUUGAGAGAGGGGAACAUGGUGAGGUGACCUCUUUAGGUGUUGAGAGAGGGGAACAUGGUGAGGUGACCUCUGUAGGUGUUGAGAGAGGGGACCAUGGUGAGGUGACCUCUGUAGGUGUUGAGAGGGGAGGAACAUGGUGAGGUGACCUCUGUAGGUGUUGAGAGAGGGGAACAUGGUGAGGUGACCUCUAGGUGUUGAGAGCUUCUUCAUUAGGAGCCAGCUGACACUGUGGCCCUGGGUGUGUCCCAAAUGUCACCAUAUUCCCCAAAUCGUGCACUGCUUUUGACUAAAGCCCUGGUCAAAAGUAGUGCACUAUAUAGGGAAUAGGGUGCCAAUCAGGACGUCUCUCUUUGUCAUGGUCACUAUUCCUCCCCUGUUCUUUAGGAAGUGCUGUGGGUGUGGGGUUGUGUGUACACAGAGGGAGACUGGACUGUUUGGUGAUAAAACAUCCUCAGAGACAACAAACACAGUCAGACGCAGGUUUAUUUCUCUAAACCCUUCCAGAUCUAAGUAACACACACAAGCUAAAACACGGCUCGCUCACACAUGUACACUUUUGUGUUAUUCUUAAACCCUGGACCUGUUACACACACACACACACACACACACACACAACCCGUCCUGAUCAAUAACUCUGUCCAGGUCUCUUCCUCAUGCCUUGCACUAAUGAUUCUCAUGAAUAUAUCUUGUCAUAAUUACAGCCAGUGUGAUAUAAAUAUAUAUAUAUAAUAUACUGUACAUAGGGUAUUGCAAUGUAGUCUACUUUUUCCAUUUACAGUUGACAGGACUAAUGCUUGCUAGGGAGUUGUCUAGAUAAUCAUUAAAAAACUGUACAGUUAGCAGAAAUCAGCUUCAGUGUGGGUUUGGAGUUGUUUUUUUCCCCUCCACAAAAAUGUUUAAAUUAUAAUCGAUGGUGGUCUUUAUAAAUGUAAGUGUUAUUAACAAACAAAAAUAUCUUGCAUUUCUUUAGUGGUCUGACUUAUACUUUAUUUCUCAAGAAAAGCUAAAUGAUUAUUUUUUGGUUUCUAUUUUUUAACAUUCUCUCUCUCACAUUUCACUCAUUUGUGAGUGAUCUAAAGUUAGGAUGCCCUGUCCGGUACUCCUCAUCCCACUAGAACUGAAGUCACACACAAUACACUGUCUGGCUGUUGAAUCCCUGUUGGAGCAAAGCGAAAAGGAUUUGAAAAAAAUUAACUUUCCGCUUGUCUUAUAACGUCUCAGUAGGAAUGUAAUGACGUUGUGGGAACAAUGUUAACAACCUUAGUAGGAGAAGAAAGACGGCUCUGUUCUACUGUUGGGGUAUUAGCUGGUGGAUCAUGAUGAUGAAUAAAUGGAUUAACUCAUAGGGAUGUACAUUGUAUACAUUUUUGUUGCUGUGGCCACUUAAUUGCAGCCGGAAAAAAAUAAAAUAAAUGCAAGCAUUUUACAGUACUGUUAAAUAAUAUCAUGUGUGGAGUAGGAUAUUUGUCUUACCUAAGAGGUGGUUCCUAUUUUUUUAUGAUCUCUAGAACUUGUGGUUCUAAGAUUUGUUUUCAGCGGUUCUAGAUGUUUUCUUAUGCUACUGUACACUGUCUGGGGUAAAGAACCCCAACCACUACACUCGGUCACCAGUGGCAUCCUGUUCUUUUUAUCUGACCUUUGACCACUUAGCUUUGCCUAUUGAGGUCACACUAUCGACUAAGGUACUAGUGGUCCUGUCAGACCUGUCCUCACCCUGGCUCUCUGAAUAUCGAGUCAGAAUAACAAAACUCUAUUGUAAGAUUUAAUAAUCAGCCUAUAAUUGGAAACAUUUUAUUACAUAUAUAUUGUGUAACUACAAGGCCUAGUACAUUAUUGUGGUAUUUGUAAGGUGGACAUCAUCGCAAGAGUCUUUUGUCUGCUUUUCCCAUGUCUUAUUAUUAUUAUUUUGCCUAUGACGGUAUGUUACUCCAUUUGUCCCAGGUCAUUACAUUUGACCUUGAAAUUCUCACUACCAAUGGUUACAAUUUUUGUGACCUCUACGCUGGAUCAUAGCCUACUCCAGCAUUUCCCAAACUAGGGGUUUGAAAACAGAAAAUUCUGAUAUAAAAUUAUGUCCUUAACCUCCAGUAGCAGCUAGAUGCGGUUGUAAUAAACAGUGGUUUCUGUUUUCUUCCUACAAAUGUAGUUCUAUCUUUUGAACGGUUUAAGCUACAUAUUAUGACCCCAUCAUUGAUGUUGAUAAAAGUCACAUUGUCCUAGAGAGAUUUACAUGGUUAUCAAAACAUCACGCCAGGGUAAACCUACACCAAACAGC